UCCCUCUUAGGAUUGUACCUGCAGAGUUUCCAGUACUCCACCAGUCUCAACUAUGGGAGGGAGAGUCAAGCAGAGUCAUACCCAUUCCAUUCCUAGCUUGUCCAGUGGCUAGAAAAUGGAAGGCAUUCUGCUAUAAGU
rnacentral:snoRNA from 1 species